rnacentral:snRNA from 1 species
AUACUUACCUAGUGCCAGGGCCUCGUUGAUCACCGAGGGUGAGCCCCGAGGGUGAGGCGCGGGCAUUGCACUGCGCUCGCAUUAAUCCCUGCCACUGCCCAAAACUGGGGCAGAUGGGUCAUGCAAAUUGCC